CUUUUCCUUUGGACCAUCAGGAGAUAAGGGUUAAAAACUUGCGGGGAGAGAAGGUUCCGAAGCGCUGUGUAACAGUCAAAGACAAGGCCGAUACUAGUGGUCUGCUCUUCUCCGGUGCCGGGAGCCUAGUGCCGAGGAGGAGAGAUUGCAAAGGGGGAGAAACAGCUGCUCCGGAGGAGGUUUCGCGGGAGCCGGCCAACACCUCAUCGUCUCCAAUUCCCCGGCGGAGCUCCGCCGGGACCAAGCUGCGAUCCCAUUGGCUGCGGGGAGCCGGAGACUCGGAGAAGAAUCGCCUCCGCCGCGCCGAUUGGCUGCUCCCCUCGCCCCCGGUCCAAUGGCCUGCUUGCUUUCAUUCGCCUCAGCCUCCGGUGUUCACACGCAGCCUCGAGGCGGCCGCAGAACGUUUUUUUUAACCUGAUCUGCCCCAGGAUGUGGCUUCUGGGGUGACGUCGGUCCCAGAUGUUCUCCCCGGGCCCCGCCCACCCUCCGGCCCCGGCCCGGCAAUAACGGGCGAAGCCUCUCCUACUGUCACAAUGCGAGGGAAGGGGUAGAGAGAGACGGCUCAUCAUCAUCAUCAUCCUUAUUUUUUUGGCACCGGGGAAAAAAAAAACCAACCAACAAACCCCCCCUCCCCCCCCCAAAACCAACCAAUCUAAGCCCCGUCCUUCGGAGCCGAUGAAGAAGCGGCUCUCCGAGCCGGGAUCGCUUCCUUUUUUUUUUAAGAAAAAAAUCCUCUUUUCCACCGGACUUUACCUGCUUUUACUUUUUAAUGCUCGGCCGGGUGGGACCUUCGUGAACGGAGCAGAAUCCAGCAUCACCUCUUCCCAGGGAGCCCUCCCCUCCUUUCCCCCCUCCACGCCCACCAGCUUGGAUGUUUGAUCUGAUUUGAUUUUUCCUUCUUUUUUUU